UGUGACAGCUUACGCCAUUUCAAUGGCGAUUUAAAACGUUGCAUCUGAGCUGGCAACAUUUUUGUCAACCUUAUCUGUAGCCUAGUUUAUCGGUAUUGCUCAACAAGGGAACCGGACCGUAGGCCUAUGACGUUAUGUAACAUUUUGUUCGUUUGUUCCUUUGAAGGGAGGAAUGGCGGUGAGAUCUGAAGAAAACAAUUUACAAUGAUCUCAGUCGAACACUGGAGUCCGGAGGAGGUAGCGGAAUGGAUCCAUCUCAUUGGGCUUACAGAAUGCGCACAGAGCUUUCUCGAAAAUGCAAUAACUGGCGUGGAUCUCUUGGAAAUCAGUGAUUCAGUGUUAGAGCUGUCCAUUCUAAGUCAACCUAGAACCAUGACCCCUCUUGGCCUGUUCUACCACUGACCAGCUGCUUUUGGAUCCUACUGCAACUCCCCACUAGUCAAGCUCGUUUUUUUCAGGCCCUUCGUGAGUUGUUUGUUCUGACUGCUGACUCGGCCAAGGACCUAUAGCAGUGUUUCUCAAACUCAGUCCUGGGGACCCCAAGGGGUGGACUUGGGGGGUUUUGCCCUAGCACCACUACACAGCUGAUUCAAAUGAUAAAGCUUGGAUUAUUUGAAUCAGCUGUGUAAUGAAGUAAAAAAAACAAUGCGCAUCCCUUGUGGUCCCCAGAUUGGAACUUUGGAAAUGUUGACCUAAAGAAUGUAGUAAAAUGUCAUUUUGUUUCAGCAUAUACACUACCGUUCAAAUGUUUGGGGUCACUUAGAAAUGUCCUUGUUUUUGAAAGAAAAGCA